rnacentral:rRNA from 1 species
AUAGCGUAUAUUAAAGUUGUUGCAGUUAAAAAGCUCGUAGUUGAACUUCAGACCUGGCUGGAUGGUCAGCUUUUUAGCGUGUACUGUCUGGCUGGGCCUUACUUCUUGGUGAGCUGAUGUGCCCUUUAUUGGGUGCGUUGGUGAACCAGGACCUUUACCUUGAGAAAAUUAGAGUGUUCAAAGCAGGCCUAUGCCCGAAUACAUUAGCAUGGAAUAAUAAAAUAGGACGUGCGGUUCUAUUUUGUUGGUUUCUAGAGUCGCCGUAAUGAUUAAUAGGGAUAGUUGGGGGCAUUGGUAUUGAGUCGCUAGAGGUGAAAUUCUUGGAUUGACUCAAGACCAACUACUG